rnacentral:rRNA from 1 species
UACGGGGGGAGCAAGCGUUGUUCGGAUUUACUGGGCGUAAAGGGCGCGUAGGCGGCCACCGCAAGUCGACUGUGAAAUCUCCGGGCUUAACCCGGAAAGGUCAGCCGAUACUGCGGGGCUAGAGUGCAGAAGGGGCAACUGGAAUUCUCGGUGUAGCGGUGAAAUGCGUAGAUAUCGAGAGGAACACCUGCGGCGAAGGCGGGUUGCUGGGCUGACACUGACGCUGAUGCGCGAAAGCUAGGGAGCGA